rnacentral:ncRNA from 1 species
UACCUGGUUGAUCCUGCCAGUAGUCAUAUGCUUGUCUCAAAGAUUAAGCCAUGCAAGUCUAAGUACGAGCUCUCGUACAGUGAAACUGCGAAUGGCUCAUUAAAUCAGUUAUGGUUCAUUUGAUCGUACAGUUUACUUGGAUAACUGUGGUAAUUCUAGAGCUAAUACAUGCGAGAAGCGCCGACCUCGCGGGAGGCGUGCAUUUAUCAGACCAAAAACCGGCCGCGUCUUCGGGCGCGUUCGCCUUGGUGACUCUGGAUAACUUUGCGGAUCGCACGGUCUAGCACCGGCGACGGAUCAUUCAAGUGUCUGCCCUAUCAACUUUCGUCGGUACGGUAUUUGCCUACCGAGGUUCUUACGGGUGACGGGGAAUCAGGGUUCGAUUCCGGAGAGGGAGCCUGAGAAACGGCUACCACAUCCAAGGAAGGCAGCAGGCGCGCAAAUUACCCAUUCCCGACGCGGGGAGGUAGUGACGAAAAAUAACAAUGCAGGACUCGUUCGAGGCCCUGUAAUUGGAAUGAGUACACUUUAAAAGCUUUAACGAGUAUCCAGGAAGGGCAAGUCUGGUGCCAGCAGCCGGGGAAAU